CACCGGCAGCUCAAGUGGUGGCCACUUUUAUUGGGCCUAAAGCGUUCGUAGCCGGCCUGAUAAGUCUCCGGUGAAAUCCCACAGCUUAACUGUGGGAAUUGCUGGAGAAACUAUCAGGCUUGAGGCCGGGAGAGGUUGGAGGUACUCCUGGGGUAGGGGUGAAAUCCUAUAAUCCCAGGAGGACCACCUGUGGCGAAGGCGUCCAACUGGAACGGACCUGACGGUGAGUAACGAAAGCCAGGGGCGCGAACCGG
rnacentral:rRNA from 1 species